rnacentral:misc_RNA from 1 species
GUUGCGUCACGAGUCGAUUUAAUCACGACUUAUGAGUGACAAUAUACUCGAUGUCGAAGGCAUUGUAACCCAACAAGUGGGGAGUUCGAUUUGGUUGGGACAAAUCGAACGAUCUGCGGCAGCAUCGAUAAUGGCGUGGUGUGGAUGCAAGCUGAGCCAUGCCCGGAUGUUGUUGUUGCUUCGUGACGCUUUUGGAACUCAUAUUUCAUUUGUCGAUGAGAUUUGUCAAUUGGUGUGGUGACGUCAAGUUGUUUGGGGAUCUUAGUUUAACUUUGAUCUUAGCUUUACGCUUAACUGGCAUCUUCAUGAGGCCUGCACUAUCGGUCCGAUGGUAUGGCAUGUUGUCGUUUGAUUGUUGCCUUAUGAUCGGAUUGUUGGGUGUAACCGAUGACAUGAUUUGGCUUGUUAUUCUUAAAACUGUGGAUGACAAUUUGACGUUGCUUCGUUUGUUGAUGAAUGUUGUUGAAUGGUGAUGCAAGGGUUUCUCAAAAUUGAUGCGUUGUUGGUGAUGACAUCCGUCUCAAGGUGAUGCGGUGUCAUGUUGCCUGUGUAUCCUGUUUUCUAGCUGUUGAGCUUAAAAACGUGGAUUAUCGGUUAGUGACACGGCAUCGCUCCCUUGGUUGAUGAAAGUCGUCCAAUGAUGCGGUGGUUGGUUUGUUUUUGUUCUCGCAUCGCUCGGUGCAUUCUGUGGUCAUUUUGGCUGUUGGCGGCUUGCUUGGCAAUUGAGCUUGGUGGGUUGCUACUGGUUGGGUGUCUUCGGGGAUGUCUACCGUAAAGGUGCAUGAGUGGUGUUUGGUUUGUUACGGGUGGUUGGCUCUUUGCUUGCGCAACAACUUCUACCCGGCAUACCUCUUCAGUCUUGUGUCAAUGCUUGUAUUGCAUUGAAUGCACGGCGGGUUUCUUGUGUUGCAUGCCUAAUUAAUGGUAUCGUUUGAUGAAAUGGUUUUCCUUUCGUCUUGCGUCGCCUAUGCGACGUGAGAUGAACCUUGAAGCAGCCUUUGUGAUCCACUCUUUUGAUGCAUACGCAUUGAUUUUGUGGCCCAUUGAGUGUUGCUCGGUCUCAUGGAUACGGAACCUGGUGUGGGCAUGGAAUCUUAAUGGUUCCUUGUUUGCCCAAGUUUAGCUUUUCUAAAACGAUUGUCU